rnacentral:rRNA from 1 species
GAUGAACGCUGGCGGCGUGCCUAAUACAUGCAAGUCGAGCGAACAGAUGAGGAGCUUGCUCCCCUGACGUUAGCGGCGGACGGGUGAGUAACACGUGGAUAACCUACCUAUAAGACUGGGAUAACUUCGGGAAACCGGAGCUAAUACCGGAUAAUAUAUUGAACCGCAUGGUUCAAUAGUGAAAGACGGUUUUGCUGUCACUUAUAGAUGGAUCCGCGCCGCAUUAGCUAGUUGGUAAGGUAACGGCUUACCAAGGCAACGAUGCGUAGCCGACCUGAGAGGGUGAUCGGCCACACUGGAACUGAGACACGGUCCAGACUCCUACGGGAGGCAGCAGUAGGGAAUCUUCCGCAAUGGGCGAAAGCCUGACGGAGCAACGCCGCGUGAGCGAUGAAGGUCUUCGGAUCGUAAAACUCUGUUAUUAGGGAAGAACAAAUGUGUAAGUAACUAUGCACGUCUUGACGGUACCUAAUCAGAAAGCCACGGCUAACUACGUG